GGUGUAGCCUAGAGAAAAGAACAGGUAGAUACUAAAGGCGCUAACCACGGGGCUGCUUGCUGCAUGCCUACAACUCCUCCCUCGAGGGGCAGAGGCAGGGAAACCAAGAGUUCCAUGCUAGCCUGGGUUAUAAACUAAAUCCUGCCUCAAAAAAAUGCUGAAAGGAUGGCUGUGUAGCUCAGUGGUAGAACACUUGUCUGGCGGGUGCAAGGCCUGAGUUUGAUUCCUAGCACAGCGGGGGUGUGCAGAGAGAGGGGGUAGUAGAUUCACUGCUUUGAGCAAACAGGAAUUAGAAAUAGCUAUAGAAAAUGAAGUAAAUAGGCCAGAUACUCCAGCGAUAGGUCCAGUCUAUCAAUAAAAAAUUAUGUGACUGUAUAUUCAAGACAGAGGAGGGUCAAGGUAGAUGUUUCUUACCUACUCGAUUUAGCUCACAGUCUCUCUUUAUGUAAAGCUCAACUUUUCAUAGCACAAAAUGUAUUCUUGAGAGCUGGGGUUUUCUCCAAAAUGGAGAGUCAUUGUUGGCUUGCUAACACAGUGCCAAGAACAUCAGUAACAAAGUUUAAUUAUUCAUUGCUUUUCUUUUCCUUUAGCCUCCUCUGAAGGCCUCUUUAUAACUGUAAGGGUAAACCUCUCCGAGGAAUGACAUUGCAUGUUCUCUCUUUGGAACCUGAGUAGCUAAGGCAGUGUUUCUUCUCCAGAGAUAUUUUCCUCAUUCUUCUCUGUCCAUAUGCUGAGAGUUAGAAUAUCUUCUUCUAGGAAGGUAAAUGGUUACAGGAUUUUCCAAAGCCCGGGUCUCUUUGGAGUUGGACAGACUUGAAUCCAAAUUGUGGCAUGGCUUGUAUUUCCAACCUUCUACUCCACAGUUGUGCAACCUUAAGUCAGUUAACCCUCAAGGCCUUUGUUACUGAUUCACAGGAUGAAAGGAUGACAGUGACCAUCGCGUGGGGUUGGGUUUAGGGAUUAAAUUCAUUGAGUGUUCUGUCCAAUGCCAAAUACUCAUGAAGCCCAUGUGGUGUGCUAGCCAUCAGUCAGUCAUUGCCAUCUCCUGCUAAACCUCUAAGAUGUGAGGUCCUCCAUGUCCUGAUGUUUAAAACUCAGAUAACUAAGAGUGUGACCGUAUUUGGAGAUAACAACUUUUAGGGGGUUGCCAUAGUAACAAAGGGUUGUUGGGGUAGUCUCAUUUCAUGCAGCUGGUACCCCUAUUAAACAAGGAGAUUAGGAUAUAGACAUGUAUAUAGGAAAACCCCACAAAGACUCUAGGAGAGCUGUGUCUAACCUCAAGAUGAGGAGGGGGCAUCAAGGUGCUGACAACCUGAACUUGGUGUUUAAGCUACCUACUCUGUGGUAUUCUAUUUCGGCAGUCCUUAAAAAGAGGGUGUGAGGGACAGAAAGAGUUUAUUUCUAAAUUACACGUUAAACACUGUAAGAUAAGAAAUGUUCCUGGAAGCUGCUGUGUUUGGUCUGUUUCUACCAAUUUCUUGAUGAGGAAAAAAAUAAUUCUAAGCUGAAUGUUCUGUUCUCUGUCCCUAAACUGCCAUCUGUGGGAUUUGGCUGGCAGCAGUUGAGCCUUAGAUGGAGCAUAGACACAAAGCUCCUGGGGUGGGUGGCGUAGCAAACACACCACGGAGCACAAUGUCCACAGGCCAAUGAUUAGAGUCUGUCCUGUCAGGACUGGUUAGAGACUGGGUCUCAGGUAAGGCAGGCAGAGGUGAAUCAGAGGGAGUUUAUAUUUAAAGAUCACAGCUAGAGUAUUUGUGUUUCCCUCCAGGUAGAGUUAACACACUUGUUCAUUUAGUGUCAUGAGAACAAAGUCAUUAAACACUAUAGACUUUCUUUUCCUUACGCCAGAUGGGGUCAUAAUUUCACUGAAGCAGGUACGGGGAUGACAGCAGCCACACGAACUGCUAACUGGCAGACCACUCUAAGGGACUUUUUCUUCUCAGCAAUUUACACAUCCACUGUUGUCUCCAAGCCCUUCCUUCCUGGCUACUCAAUACCCUCUGUGUGACUUUCCCUCCCUUCAGCUGUCCCCAGCUAGGCUAGGGGACAGGCAAGCUCUGGAAGCCACAGAGGGAAGCCCCUUUGGUCCUAUCUUCAUUCAGUCCUGGAGACAAGGAACAAAGGCCUCCUCUUCCUCUCACUUCCUCGGACAUUUCUGCUGCCAAUGUGAAGCCCCAAUGUAUCUGUUGUCAUCGGAGGGAACACAAAGACUGGAACAACUGUCGUGGAGUAUUUCAAAGGAGGCUUUCUUGGAAGAACAUGAAAGAGAACAAACUCAACAGAAAAGAACGGCUCAGUCUGAGUACCUACUUGGACGAAGGUUGUGAAGGUUGGGAACGGGAAUGACCCUCGUGACCCACAGGUGCCUCGGUGUCAGGAAGCACACAGAAUGCCAACCAGAAAGAGAGGCAGGUCCAGGGAGAGGAAUGAGGCUUCACCCAAGGGCAUUUGCAUUCAGGCCUUAAACGCACACCAGAGGCUGCUACUGAAACAUAAAAUAUCAACACGUGAAAAAAAUAUCAACUCAUCUGCAGUCUUUACGGAAAGCAUUGACUGGAAUCUUGCUUGUCAGAUGACAAAUGGGACCGGCCUCAUCUGGAGUAGGG
rnacentral:sRNA from 1 species